rnacentral:rRNA from 1 species
UACGUAGGGUGCAAGCGUUGUUCGGAUUUAUUGGGCGUAAAGCGCGUGUAGGCGGCCAGGUAGGUCUGCUGUGAAAACUCGAGGCUCAACCUCGAGAUGUCGGCGGAAACCCUCUGGCUAGAGUCCGGAAGAGGAGAGUGGAAUUCCCGGUGUAGCGGUGAAAUGCGCAGAUAUCGGGAAGAACACACGUGGCGAAGGCGGCUCUCUGGGACGGUACUGACGCUGAGACGCGAAAGCGUGGGGAGCGAACAGG